UCUGCGUCAUCUCUUCCAUUUUAAUCUCACAAGUCGAGUGCAGACUGCAGAAGCUUCGUUAGCACUUCCAUGGCGUCUUCUCUCUCUAGAAAACUAUCCGCUGCCAUUCUCUCGAAGCACAGACCACUCUCGAACACAUCUCUCUCUUUCUGCACCAAAAGUCUCUCCUCCCCAGAAUCCGUUUCCGAUUCCGACUCACCACCCGAUUCUCCCCCUCCAAACCAGCAGCGCACCAAUACCGAUCGACCCCUCGAAAACGGCUUGGACCUCGGCAUUUACAAGGCGAUAUUGGUAGGGCAGGUUGGGCAGGCGCCGAUUCAAAAGCGGCUGAAAAGCGGGAAAAUAGUAACCCUAAUUUCGCUCGGCACGGGUGGCAUUCGCAACAAUCGGAGGCCGUUGGACAACGAGGAGCCGCGUGAUUACGCCAAUCGCUGCGCGGUGCAGUGGCACAGGAUUUCUGUGUAUCCUGAGAAAUUGGGCGAACUCGCCGCGAAGAAUCUCGUCCCCGGUUCUACAUUGUACGUGGAAGGGAAUCUCGAGACUAAAAUAUUCAAUGAUCCGAUAACUGGACUCGUCCGUCGAAUCAGAGAGAUUGCUGUACGUCGGAAUGGGAGGAUUCUGGUUCUAGGAAACGGAGCUGAAGCGGCGCAGUUUUCAAGGAAUGAUAUGGCUGGGGUUGGAUAUUACUGAGGAAUCAGGUAUUGAUGAUUUUCCCGUGGUAAGGCCACAUUAACCGACAAACUAGUGCUGUGCUUAUCUGGGGAGCCAAAUUCAGUAGGCUGCAGUUAUAGAAAUGUUGUUAAGUUGUCAGGCCAAAUCCAAAUGGGAACAAAGGAUCAUAAUGUGGAUCGCCUACAUUCAUGGGGAGCUGGUCGACUGAUUUGAACCAAGUCCUAGGAAGUUUUCCAGUGAAACCAUAUUGACCAAAUAGGACAUCAG